UUUUGAUUGUUUCCUUGCUCUUUCCAUGGCUUCAGUAACUCGCGAGUGAAGCAUGCAAGAGCUCAAAUUUGAAAUCUGGCGUCUUUCGGCGUCCGAGUUGUAAUUUGGAGAGACAUCUUCGGAGGUGGAGCCGUCCUAAGUUCCUUGGAACAGGACGUCACAGAGGGUGAGAAUCCCGUGCUCAGGCGGCAUCCCAUCUCCAUGUGAAGUGUCUUCGACGAGUCGAGUUGUUUGGGAAUGCAGCUCAAAAUGGGUGGUAAAUUUCAUCUAAAGCUAAAUAUUGGGCGAGAGACCGAUAGCGCACAAGUAGAGUGAUCGAAAGAUGAAAAGCACUUUGAAAAGAGAGUUAAAAAGUACGUGAAAUUGUUGAAAGGGAAGCGCUCGAGACCAGACUCGACUUUCACCGAUCAGCCGUGCUUCUGUGCGGUGCACUCGGGGUUUGUCGGGCCAGCAUCGGUUUCGGCGGUGGGAUAAAAGGCAUUGGAAUGUGGCUCCCUUCCGGGGAGUGCUAUAGCCCGCGUCAUAAUGCCAUCUGCUGGGACCGAAGAAACGCGCUUCGGCGAGGAUGCUGGCGUAAUGGUCCUUUAGCGACCCGGCCUUGAAACACCGGACCCAAGGAGUCUAACAUCUAUUCCAAUGGUUCCGGCGGUAAAAACCCCUGCCCCGUAAUGAAAAGUGAAACGGAAGUGGGGAACCCCCUCCGGGGGGGCACCAUCCAAACCGAUCCCUGAAAGUCUUUACGGAAAGGAUUUUGAGUAAGGAACCUAAGCUUUUUGGGGAACCCCGAAAAAAAGGGGGAACUCUUGGCCUGAAAAAUGGGUGGAAAGCCCCAAGAAAAAAACUUCUUUGGGAAAGGUCCCCGAAAGGGGUUUUUUUAAAAGGGCAAAUUCCGAUUUGCCCAAUUUUUGGGGUUUAAGGGGGGCCAAAAAAGCUAUUAAGCCAAACAUUAUCCCGGAAAUGGUGGCUUCCGAGUUCAUUCU
rnacentral:rRNA from 1 species